UACGGGGGGGGGGCAAGCGUUGUUCGGAAUUACUGGGCGUAAAGGGCUCGUAGGCGGCCAACUAAGUCAGACGUGAAAUCCCUCGGCUUAACCGGGGAACUGCGUCUGAUACUGGAUGGCUUGAAUCCGGGGAGAGGGAUGCGGAAUUCCAGGUGUAGCGGUGAAAUGCGUAGAUAUCUGGAGGAACACCGGUGGCGAAGGCGGCAUCCUGGACCGGCAUUGACGCUGAGGAGCGAAAGCCAGGGGAGCAAAGCGGG
rnacentral:rRNA from 1 species